rnacentral:rRNA from 1 species
UACGUAGGGAGCAAGCGUUGUCCGGAAUCAUUGGGCGUAAAGCGCGCGUAGGCGGCUCGAUCAGUCUGUUGUGAAAGUCAAAGGCUCAACCUUUGAAUGCCGAUGGAUACUGUCGAGCUAGAGUCCGGAAGAGGCGAGUGGAAUUCCUGGUGUAGCGGUGGAAUGCGCAGAUAUCAGGAGGAACACCAACGGCGAAGGCAGCUCGCUGGGACGGUACUGACGCUGAGACGCGAAAGCGUGGGGAGCAAACAGG